CGAUCACAAAGGCAGACAUGGUUUUGUGUUUACAUAGUGCGGUACGCAACACAACUCAUAAAAAGACAUUAUAAUCAGUAAUUAGCUGGCUAACGUUAGUUUUUUCACUCGCCUGCGGCAGACAAACUGUGAUUGAACCCCAGACCAGUGAGUUUGACUGACGUUUUAUUCGCCUCUUCCUAUUUCUUUUUCACUCAAUGUUGUUUGUGAGGAGUGGAAGUUAAUUUUACUCAUACAGCAGUCACGAUUCCAGCUGAGGAGAGACAAUAACAGACAUGGCUGUUGUUUGAAAGAGUAAGUUUAAAUUAAUUAACGGAAUAAAUACAAACAAUGGAUGAAUAUACUUCUGUUCUAUCUAGGUUCACAGCCCUCUUAACAGCCAUCUUGUUUUGGAAGGAAGAAGAAAUGGAAGAGAUGCUUUGGAAGUAAAAGUUGUCAACGACAAGCCUGACAUCACACAGAUGAUACUUCAAAGGCCAGCACUUUUUACAGUAAACCAGCUGAAGAUACUACCAAGUAUCUUCACCAAGCUGUUACUCUGAGGCAGGAGUCCCAAGCACCAUGUGGCCCUCACACAUGCACUCAGAAGAGGCCUCGCUCCCCCACGGAGAGAUCCACAUCCAGGACGAGUGCUAAGGGGGGUUAAAAAGGCCUGCUGCAUCUGUCUUUUUUAAUAACACUAUGUCCAGGAAGUUCAGGCUGGAUGAGGACUAAGUGUAAUGAGAUGUCCAUCACGACAACAUGUGUGACAAGUGGAAUGGAAAUGCAAUUAGCCCUCCCCCCACCACCAGACAUGGCUAGGCCUGUUAUGUGUUAAUAAUGUGAUGUAAUGGCCAUAAGGAUAAAACAGUUCCUGUUCGUGACAUCAGGGGAUCUCAUCUUUAUCCUCCCAGAACAUCUGAAUGAACGUGUAAGUGAGCAAGUGCUUUAGGGGAAUGAGUGAGUCAGUGAGAAAGCAGUGAACGUGAGUCCGUUGCUCUUUUCCAAAUCGUAGUUGGCUGCCUGCAGAGGCUGCAUUUGAUGGAGUGUUGUUCCUUAAAUGAAGGCUUUUUCAAAAUCUACACGUAUUUAUUACACUGACUUAUGAGAUACCAGAUUUUAGCCAGAUUCUAAGGCGUUAGUGCAUAUUUCUUUGUAGGCAAGGCAAUCCCAAAAUGUAUUGGCAUGAGCUCCUUUGUGGGGAAAAAAUGCACUUAUUGGUAUUGAAGUGUACUUCAAAUGUUAAAAGUAUAUAUGUGUGUAUAUGUAUGUAUAUGUAUGUGUG